rnacentral:rRNA from 1 species
GUAACACGUGAGCAACCUGCCCCUGACUCUGGGAUAACAGUCGGAAACGAUUGCUAAUACCGGAUAUGCACCAUGAACGCAUGUUCUGUGGUGGGAAAGAUUUUUUGGUUGGGGAUGGGCUCGCGGCCUAUCAGCUUGUUGGUGAGGUAAUGGCUCACCAAGGCGUCGACGGGUAGCCGGCCUGAGAGGGUGACCGGCCACACUGGGACUGAGACACGGCCCAGACUCCUACGGGAGGCAGCAGUGGGGAAUAUUGCACAAUGGGCGAAAGCCUGAUGCAGCAACGCCGCGUGAGGGAUGACGGCCUUCGGGUUGUAAACCUCUUUUAGCAGGGAAGAAGCGAGAGUGACGGUACCUGCAGAAAAAGCGCCGGCUAACUACGUGCCAGCAGCCGCGGUAAUACGUAGGGCGCAAGCGUUAUCCGGAAUUAUUGGGCGUAAAGAAGCUCGUAGGCGGUUUGUCGCGUCUGCUGUGAAAACUGGAGGCUCAACCUCCAGCCUGCAGUGGGUACGGGCAGACUAGAGUGCGGUAGGGGAGAUUGGAAUUCCUGGUGUAGCGGUGGAAUGCGCAGAUAUCAGGAGGAACACCGAUGGCGAAGGCAGAUCUCUGGGCCGUAACUGACGCUGAGGAGCGAAAGGGUGGGGAGCAAACAGGCUUAGAUACCCUGGUAGUCCACCCCGUAAACGUUGGGAACUAGUUGUGGGGGCCUUUCCACGGUCUCCGUGACGCAGCUAACGCAUUAAGUUCCCCGCCUGGGGGGGUACGGCGGCAAGGCUAAAACUCAAAGGAAGUGACGGGGGACC